UUUGGGAGAAGCUUAGAUAUUCUUGGAACCCUGCUCAAUGUGCAGCCAUUUUUGGCAUGGAUGCCUAAAAAGCGGCAACCGAGCCAUGGAUGGCGACUUUGCCGCGGUGGCGGAAACGCAAUGAGAGUAUAUCAGGGUUCCUAGAAUAACUUAGCUUCGUACAAC
rfam:Firmicutes bacterium CAG:882 genomic scaffold, scf303